rnacentral:rRNA from 1 species
CCUACGGGUGGCUGCAGUGAGGAAUAUUGGUCAAUGGCCGGGAGGCUGAACCAGCCAAGUCGCGUGAGGGAAGACGGCCCUACGGGUUGUAAACCUCUUUUGUCAGGGAACAAGGUGCAUGUCGGGACCUUCUGUGAGAGUACCUGAAGAAUAAGCAUCGGCUAACUCCGUGCCAGUAGCCGCGGUAAUACGGAGGAUCCGAGCGUUAUCCGGAUUUAUUGUGUUUAAAGGGGGCGCAGGCGGAGGCACAAGUCAGCGGUAAAAUCGCGGGGCUAAACCCCUCACCGCCAUUGAAACUGGGUCCCUUGAGUGCGCGAAGGGUAGGCGGAAUGCGUGGUGUAGCGGUGAAAUGCAUAGAUAUCACGCAGAACUCCGAUCGCGAAGGCAGCCUACCGGCGCGCAACUGACGCUCAUGCACGAAAGCGUGGGUAUCGAACAGGAUUAGAUACCCCAGUAGUC